rnacentral:rRNA from 1 species
GAUGAACGCUGGCGGCGUGCCUAAUACAUGCAAGUCGAGCGAACAGACGAGGAGCUUGCUCCUCUGACGUUAGCAGCGGACGGGUGAGUAACACGUGGAUAACCUACCUAUAAGACUGGGAUAACUUCGGGAAACCGGAGCUAAUACCGGAUAAUAUAUUGAACCGCAUGGUUCAAUAGUGAAAGACGGUUUUGCUGUCACUUAUAGAUGGAUCCGCGCCGCAUUAGCUAGUUGGUAAGGUAACGGCUUACCAAGGCAACGAUGCGUAGCCGACCUGAGAGGGUGAUCGGCCACACUGGAACUGAGACACGGUCCAGACUCCUACGGGAGGAAGCAGUAGGGAAUCUUCCGCAAUGGGCGAAAGCCUGACGGAGCAACGCCGCGUGAGUGAUGAAGGUCUUCGGAUCGUAAAACUCUGUUAGUAGGGAAGAACAAAUGUGUAAGUAACUAUGCACGUCUUGACGGUACCUAAUCAGAAAGCCACGGCUAACUACGUG